GUUCAGAUGGCUUGUCACCGCGUUUGUGCUCAUCGGACUGAGGGUUGAGCCAGGGCCUGACAACUGGUGGUGCAUGGGAGUGAGGCAGCCAGUCUGCUCCCAUCAGCAUGAUACGGGCCUGCACGGAAAUUCACCCACAAUAUUUACAGGGAGUUCCCACCGAGAGACACUGAGUACCGAGCUCCUGGCACCGGAGCUGCAGUGUGCACACACCCGGAGAAGAGGCGACAUGUGGGGGGAAAUAAAGUCCCGUUCUUCUGAUGGAGACUUUCACUUAUUUUACCUGACACGCGUUCUGCUAAAAGAUGUGGAAGAAGAAAACUGUGAAGAUUUCGAUCAGAGGGAGCCGCCGAAUGGAUCAUAAUCCAGGAUUUCUUUGAACAAGCAAACUGCAGAGGAAAAGUUUAGCUGUAGUCUCGUAGCUUGGAGUCGAGGGACUGCAACACAUCCAGGAGUUCGCCAACAAACAAACGGAUGCAAUUAAACACACUCGCCUUCAGAUCAUCAAUGAGGACGCAAAGUCAAGGCUGGAGGAAAAACCAACAAGGGCAAAUGUAAGACGGGAGAAGAGUCUGUUGCCUCAAGGUUAAACUGUGUUAAGAGCCCAACAUCACACACUGGAUGAUUCUUGCUUCUUCUACUAACACACAUCACCGGUGGAUUUUUUACAUUAAACAUUCUUAUUUUACAACCUUAAAAAUUGAUGUUAUAUUUUGGUGUCUUUGCUAGAAAAAUAUGCUUUCUCUGGUUCUUCUCUGCCACCACACUGUCCUGGAAGUAAUAAUACAAAAGUAAUGAACACAAA